GAUUUCACUAGGUGAGAAGUGGGAUUGGAUUUCAGUAGAAAAAAAUCCCGAGGGAACCAUUAGCGGAAACUAAGAAUGGGGAUGUAUUCCCCUCUAAAUGCAGUAGAGAAGAGUCAGGAGAGCUAGAGAGAGGCAGGCGCAAAAAAAAAAAGUUCUGGGUGGAUCUGCCAGUUCAUGGCCGCCUCACCUGCGUUUCAAUCAUUGUCUCUGUGAACCAGCCCCUCUCGGGUUUCCUGCCGGAAAAAUAUUUGGCAAGUUUCGCUUGAAUUUAUACAGGACACACUUUUGAACAUGUAAACAAUAUACAAGGCCAACUUGUUUUGGGAGCUACGAAUGACAAAAGUCUCGAAAUCCAAAUCUGUGCCAAGUUAGUUUUGCCCUUAAAAAAAAAGUGCUUAUGAAAUACUUGAAUCUCUUCAGUUAGCACAAAUACAAUGAGUGACCUAAAAGUUCAAGUAAUGGCCCAGAGUGAGGGGAAGUGUAUGUAAUGUUGACUCCGGUUUACAGAAAGUGAAUCUGAGUCAUGACAAGAUCCUGAAAUUCUGCACGAUCUCAUUCUGCCUGUAAAUGCCCUGGACUCAAUGGUAAGCAAACGUGAACUCUGGCCAGGCAGGCAGAAGCACUUUGUUUUCCAUUGUGUGGCGACACCAGCCGCCCAUUGCUUCUGACAAAGGCCUUCGUCAAGCCGGUGUGUCAUCGUUUGCGUUUGCCACGGCCGCAGCUCGCCGGCCGCGCGCGAAGACCCGCUCCCCGACUUGCCAGUAACUCUGGUCUCCCCGGGCGCGAGGCCAGGCCGGCCGGUCCACGCGGGAUGCAGCGCCACCUGCUGGAAGCCGAGUGAUAGAGCCGCAGACGGGACUAGACCGCGGAGACCAAAAAGACCAGCGCUGGGUGCCCUGUUGGCUUCGGGGCGACAGCCAGGCCUGACUGGAAGGAGAACAAAAACAGUAGCAGAAAUACGCACCGUUUAUCCAAACCAAUCCUCCAGGCUACAUGCCAUCCUUUCCUCUCUGCGGAGUGUGGUGUGGUGUGUGUCCACGCGCCCCUGUCGGGAGCUAUAUCAUGGUUGGACAUUUGGGUGUGUCUGUCUGUGAUCUCCUUC
rnacentral:lncRNA from 1 species